ACGCUCGACACCUACGGGAGGCCGCAGUGGGGAAUAUUGCACAAUGGGGGAAACCCUGAUGCAGCGACGCCGCGUGAGCGAAGAAGUAUUUCGGUAUGUAAAGCUCUAUCAGCAGGGAAGAUAAUGACGGUACCUGACUAAGAAGCUCCGGCUAAAUACGUGCCAGCAGCCGUCGGUAAUCUGAGCGGGCUGGCAAGGC
rnacentral:rRNA from 1 species